GAGGUGGCCCAGUGGUAAAGCAUCUGCCUUGCAUGCAGAACUUCCCUAGGUUCAAUCUCUGGUGUCUCCA